UACGAAGGGGGCUAGCGUUGUUCGGAAUUACUGGGCGUAAAGGGCGCGUAGGCGAUUUUGUAAGUCUUGUGUGAAAGCCCAAAGCCUAACUUUGGAAGUGCACAAGAAACUGCGAGAAUUGAGUUCCGGAGAGGAAGAUGGAAUUCCCGGUGUAGCGGUGAAAUGCGCAGAUAUCGGGAAGAACACCCGUGGCGAAGGCGGCACUCUGGGACGGUACUGACGCUGAGACGCGAAAGCGUGGGGAGCGAACAGG
rnacentral:rRNA from 1 species